rnacentral:miRNA from 1 species
UGUGUUCUCUGUUCUC